UACGGGGGGUGCGAGCGUUGUCCGGAAUCACUGGGCGUAAAGGGCGCGUAGGUGGCCUGAUAAGGGUGUGGUGAAAGUCCGGGGCUCAACCCCGGAUCUGCCGUGCCGACUGUCAGGCUAGAGUACUGUAGGGGCAGGCGGAAUUCCGGGUGUAGCGGUGGAAUGCGUAGAGAUCCGGAGGAACACCUAUAGCGAAGGCAGCUUGCUGGGACGUUACUGACGCUAAGGCGCGAAAGCGUGGGGAGCGAACAGG
rnacentral:rRNA from 1 species